rnacentral:piRNA from 1 species
UGCCAGACUCCUUAAGUGUACACCAGGAC